rnacentral:misc_RNA from 1 species
UUUCCGUAGGUGAACCUGCGGAAGGAUCAUUAGAGAAUUUAUGAGAGCUUCGUGCUUUCUAACAUACCCUAUAAACCAUAAACACCUGUGCACCUUUUUUAUUAGGAAUCUGUUGCUGUAGUUACUAGUCUCUUCGGGGGCAAAUGCUUGGCGACCUUUUCUUAUACACACACAAACAUUAUAGUCUUGAAUGUAAUACAAAAUUGUAACAAAAAUACAACUUUCAACAACGGAUCUCUUGGCUCUCGCAUCGAUGAAGAAUGCAGC